GGAGAGGUGGCUGAGUGGUUGAAAGCACGUGGUUGCUAACUACGCAAUGGGGAAACCCAUUCGAGGGUUCGAAUCCCUCUCUCUCCGCCA
rnacentral:tRNA from 2 species